AAUGAACGCUGGCGGCGUGCCUAACACAUGCAAGUCGAGCGAGAAAGGGACCUUCGGGUCCUGAGUAAAGCGGCGCACGGGUGAGUAACGCGUGGGUAACCUACCCAGGAGUGGGGGAUAACCAGCCGAAAGGCUGACUAAUCCCGCAUACGAACAUUAGGCUCAAGCCUAAUGAGGAAAGAUGGCCUCUGCUUGCAAGCUAUCGCUCCAGGAUGGGCCCGCGUUGGAUUAGCUUGUUGGUGAGGUAAUGGCUCACCAAGGCAACGAUCCAUAGCUGGUUUGAGAGGACGACCAGCCACACUGGAACUGAGACACGGUCCAGACUCCUACGGGAGGCAGCAGUGAGGAAUAUUGCGCAAUGGGGGAAACCCUGACGCAGCGACGCCGUGUGAGUGAUGAAGGCCUUCGGGUCGUAAAGCUCUGUCAGAG
rnacentral:rRNA from 1 species